GACGAACGCUGGCGGCGUGCUUAACACAUGCAAGUCGAGCGGUAAGGCCCUUUCGGGGGUACGACGAGCGGCGAACGGGUGAGUAACACGUGGGUGACCUGCCCUUAGCUCUGGGAUAAGCCUGGGAAACUGGGUCUAAUACCGGAUAUGACUCCAUGACGCAUGUUGUGGGGUGGAAAGCCUUGUGCGGCUAGGGAUGGGCCUGCGGCCUAUCAGCUUGUUGGUGGGGUGAGGCCUACCAAGGCGACGACGGGUAGCCGGCCUGAGAGGGCGACCGGCCACACUGGGACUGAGACACGGCCCAGACUCCUACGGGAGGCAGCAGUGGGGAAUCUUGCGCAAUGGGCGAAAGCCUGACGCAGCGACGCCGCGUGGGGAUGACGGCCU
rnacentral:rRNA from 1 species